CAGCAGCAGCCGCGGUAAUACGGAGGAUCCAAGCGUUAUCCGGAAUCAUUGGGUUUAAAGGGUCCGUAGGCGGUCUUGUAAGUCAGUGGUGAAAGCCCAUCGCUCAACGGUGGAACGGCCAUUGAUACUGCAGGACUUGAAUUAUUGGGAAGUAACUAGAAUAUGUAGUGUAGCGGUGAAAUGCUUAGAGAUUACAUGGAAUACCAAUUGCGAAGGCAGGUUACUACCAAUUGAUUGACGCUGAUGGACGAAAGCGUGGGUAGCGAACAGGAUUAGAGACCCCCGUAGUCCCUGUCUCUUAUAC
rnacentral:rRNA from 1 species